UACGUAGGGUCCGAGCGUUGUCCGGAAUUAUUGGGCGUAAAGGGCUCGUAGGCGGUUCGUCACGUCGGGAGUGAAAACUCGGAGCUUAACUCCGAGCCUGCUUCCGAUACGGGCAGACUAGAGGUAGGCAGGGGAGAGCGGAACUCCUGGUGUAGCGGUGGAAUGCGCAGAUAUCAGGAAGAACACCGGUGGCGAAGGCGGCUCUCUGGGCCUUACCUGACGCUGAGGUGCGAAAGCGUGGGGAGCGAACAGG
rnacentral:rRNA from 1 species